GGGGGGCGGCAGGCCUAACACAUGCAAGUCGAACGGUAACAGGAAGCAGCUUGCUGCUUCGCUGACGAGUGGCGGACGGGUGAGUAAUGUCUGGGAAACUGCCUGAUGGAGGGGGAUAACUACUGGAAACGGUGGCUAAUACCGCAUAACGUCGCAAGACCAAAGAGGGGGACCUUCGGGCCUCUUGCCAUCAGAUGUGCCCAGAUGGGAUUAGCUUGUUGGUGAGGUAACGGCUCACCAAGGCGACGAUCCCUAGCUGGUCUGAGAGGAUGACCAGCCCCACUGGAACUGAGACACGGUCCAGACUCCUACGGGAGGCAGCAGUGGGGAAUAUUGCACAAUGGGCGCAAGCCUGAUGCAGCCAUGCCGCGUGUAUGAAGAAGGCCUUCGGGUUGUAAAGUACUUUCAGCGGGGAGGAAGGUGUUGUGGUUAAUAACCGCAGCAAUUGACGUUACCCGCAGAAGAAGCACCGGCUAACUCCGUGCCAGCAGCCGCGGUAAUACGGAGGGUGCAAGCGUUAAUCGGAAUUACUGGGCGUAAAGCGCACGCAGGCGGUCUGUCAAGUCGGAUGUGAAAUCCCCGGGCUCAACCUGGGAACUGCAUUCGAAACUGGCAGGCUUGAGUCUUGUAGAGGGGGGUAGAAUUCCAGGUGUAGCGGUGAAAUGCGUAGAGAUCUGGAGGAAUACCGGUGGCGAAGGCGGCCCCCUGGACAAAGACUGACGCUCAGGUGCGAAAGCGUGGGGAGCAAACAGGAUUAGAUACCCUGGUAGUCCCCGCCGUAAACGAUGUCUACUUGGAGGUUGUGCCCUUGAGGCGUGGCUUCCGGAGCUAACGCGUUAAGUAGACCGCCUGGGGAGUACGGCCGCAAGGUUAAAACUCAAAUGAAUUGACGGGGGCCCGCACAAGCGGUGGAGCAUGUGGUUUAAUUCGAUGCAACGCGAAGAACCUUACCUGGUCUUGACAUCCCCAGAAGUUUCCAGAGAUGGAUUGGUGCCUUCGGGAACUGUGAGACAGGUGCUGCAUGGCUGUCGUCAGCUCGUGUUGUGAAAUGUUGGGUUAAGUCCCGCAACGAGCGCAACCCUUAUCCUUUGUUGCCAGCGGUUAGGCCGGGAACUCAAAGGAGACUGCCAGUGAUAAACUGGAGGAAGGUGGGGAUGACGUCAAGUCAUCAUGGCCCUUACGACCAGGGCUACACACGUGCUACAAUGGCGCAUACAAAGAGAAGCGACCUCGCGAGAGCAAGCGGACCUCAUAAAGUGCGUCGUAGUCCGGAUUGGAGUCUGCAACUCGACUCCAUGAAGUCGGAAUCGCUAGUAAUCGUGGAUCAGAAUGCCCCGGUGAAUACGUUCCCGGGCCUUGUACACACCGCCCGUCACACCAUGGGAGUGGGUUGCAAAAGAAGUAGGUAGCUUAACCUUCGGGAGGGCGCUUACCCCUUUGUGAUUCAUGACUGGGGUGAAGUCGUAACAAGGUAACCGUAGGGGGGGG
rnacentral:rRNA from 1 species